CACUCUUCUAAAGAACCAACUACGAGAAGAAAAGAAAAUUCUAGCUUCUCUCCGGUGAACCAAAGGAUAAACACCAGCUUCAGUUUCUACCAUUAAGACGUGACCCACUCCAAAAAUCAUCAACAAGAGAACCUUACCUAAAAGAGGGAGGAUAAGACCUGAAAAAGACACAGCAGCAUCAAAGAAGUUAAUUUAUAAAACAGGU